rnacentral:rRNA from 1 species
CCUACGGGUGGCUGCAGUGAGGAAUAUUGGUCAAUGGCCGAGAGGCUGAACCAGCCAAGUCGCGUGAGGGAAGACGGCCCUACGGGUUGUAAACCUCUUUUGUCGGGGAGCAAAGAGAGUCACGUGUGACUCAUUGAGAGUACCCGAAGAAAAAGCAUCGGCUAACUCCGUGCCAGCAGCCGCGGUAAUACGGAGGAUGCGAGCGUUAUCCGGAUUGAAUGGGUUUGAAGGGUGCGUAGGCGGUUAUCCAAGUUAGAAGUGAAAUACCCAGGGCUUAACUCGGGUGCUGCUUUUAAAACUGUAAGACUUGAGUGCAGUAGAGGUUAGUGGAAUUCCUAGUGUAGCGGUGGAAUGCGUAGAUAUUAGGAGGAACACCAGAGGCGAAGGCGGCUAACUGGACUGCAACUGACGCUGAGGCACGAAAGUGUGGGGAGCAAACAGGAUUAGAUACCCUUGUAGUC